GGCCUUCUUUGUCUCUCCCCUUUUCCUGUAAAUUUCUUCAUUUCUUAAUUGUGUACAAAAUUUGAGUCUUGUAAACAAGUUCUUCCUCCUCCCUUCGGGCAUUCCCGAAAGGGAAAUCUUAUAUUGUCUAUAAUGUCAUGUCAACCAUCUUCACCAACACCUACUUUCUCAUCAUCUUCAGAAGGUAGUCUAGCCCAAAAGACAAGAUACAAAGAGAACUCGUAGACCAGCGAACAACAUCUUGGUUGCCUUCGUAUGGGUUGUAAAGAUUCCAUACAAGACAAAAGUUAGAAAGAUUCUAUGGAGGACAAGCCAGCAAUAAGGAAUAACUAAGUUCAUUCGGAAUGAAGCAAGCACAUCAAGCAAAAGGAAAGGAAAUUCAAUCGGUACACAUCAGAUCAUGGACCAAGUCGCUGACAUUUUCACAACGACCCCCGAUUCAAAGUUAUUUCACAGACUAAAGACCUUAUUUGGAAUGGUUAAUGGCACGAAAUUUCGUCUAAGGGGGAUUGUCGGAAUUAGUAAACCAAAUCAUAGUUAGUUAAUUCGGAUUCGGCAAAAAUUCGCACGCGGCGUAGCAGACGGCGUCGGGCAAGAUGGAACUAUGGGAACUGUAGCCGCGGCCCUCUUUCUCCCGGCGCCGGCCAGGGCAGCGGCGGAGGAGGAGGACGACGAGCGUCGCCGACUCGCGGGCCUUUUUUUUGGGCGAAAACGGACGGCGUCGGGGGAGGUGGAAACCGUAGCCGCGCCCUCCUGCUCCCGACGCCGGCCAGGGCGGCGGCGGAGGAGGACGACGACGAUGCUCGUCGUCGCCGACUCGCGAGCCGAUUUUUUGGGCGAAUUAUUUGCGAAUAGCGAAUAAUUCGCGGAUAAUUUUUUUUGGAGAAAAAAAUGCGUUUUUUUUCGCACUUUUGGGAAAAAUACGUUUCAUGCCGUUUAAUUCGGCUAAUCAAAAAUUCGCGAAUAAUUCGCGUAUUAUACGCGAAUUUACUAACUAUGAACCAAAUUAAGCUUACCUUGUUAUUAGUGAUGGUGUAACACACUAGACCUUUGCAAAUUGCGAGGUUCGAGUGUUUGAUCUGUGUUCCAAGUUUUUCCAGGUAUUCUGGAGGGUCAUUGACAGUGUUCCGACCUAUAGCUCGCAUUCCGAGAAUCGAGGUUUAAAAUUUAACACCAAAGUCUCUAAAGUGAAGAUUGUUGGCUGCUCUCAGAUUGGACUCUGCAGAGCAGAGUACCGAUACAGCAUCGGGCCUGUACCGGAACCAGACCUGGUACCGGUACAACAUCGGACUUGUACCGGUACCCAGUGUGUUUUUCUGCGAACCCAAGGCUCGGGUUUGCGCAGACUGCUAUUUGGUACCAGUACUCUUUCCCGUAUACCGGUACGCAGUGCAGACUGCAUACUGCUUGGUUUUUAGGGGUGUUUUUGAUAUUGUAGCAACCUUAUAAGACCCCCCACACCCCUCCGGUGUUCCCUGAGCUUGGAACCAGUGGAGAAGCAGGUAAGGGAGCUCUCCCCUUCCCCUUUUUCAUUUUCUUUCAUUUUUGUUGGAAUUUUGAGGUUUAAUCCUCUCUUUUUGCCCCUUUUUGCUUCUUGGAGCUAUUUCCACCAAGAGAAAAGCAUUGGAGCAAGGUUUGGGACUUGUUGGAGGGAGGAUCUUCAACCCUAGCCCACUUUCUUGCUUGGUUUGAAGCUUUGGACAGGUUGGAUUUGAAGGAAUUUUACUCUCAUUUGGAGAUUGAGAGAGAUUUUCACCAUACAAGAGCCUUCCACUCCGGGAGAGGCUCGGGAUCGCGGAAAAAGAAUCGCCUCGAGCUAGUUAGCGAGGGAUUUUACGAUAGGUGGUUCACCUCUUUUUGUUUUUAUUUGGAGAGGAGAGUUUUUGUAUCCAUGUAUAGA